GACGAACGCUGGCGGCGUGCUUAACACAUGCCAGUCGAACGGAAAGGCCCUGCUUUUGUGGGGUGCUCGAGUGGCGAACGGGUGAGUAACACGUGAGUAACCUGCCCUUGACUUUGGGAUAACUUCAGGAAACUGGGGCUAAUACCGGAUAGGAGCUCCUGCUGCAUGGGGGGGGUUGGAAAGUUUCGGCGGUUGGGGAUGGACUCGCGGCUUAUCAGCUUGUUGGGGGGGUAGUGGCUUACCAAGGCUUUGACGGGUAGCCGGCCUGGGAGGGUGGCCGGCGCCAUGGGGCCUGAGCUAGGCCCCAGCCUCCUAGGGGAGCCAGCGGGGGGAAUUAUGCCACAGUGGGGGGAGCCCUGAUCAAGAACCGCGCGGGGGGGAAUGCCGGCCUUGGGGUUGAAAACGGCUUCCGCUUGUGACGAAGCGUGAGUGACGGUAAUGGGAAAAGAAGCACCGGCUAACUCCGUG
rnacentral:rRNA from 1 species